rnacentral:rRNA from 1 species
UACAUGGGGUGCAAACGUUGCUCGGAAUUAUUGGGCGUAAAGCGCACGUAGGCGCCAUUCCAAGUCGGAUGUGAAAGCCCUUGGCUCAACCGAGGAAGUGCACCCGAAACUGGAUGGCUAGAGUACGAAAGAGGGUCGCGGAAUUCCCGGAGUAGAGGUGAAAUUCGUAGAUAUCGGGAGGAACACCGAUGGCGAAGGCAGCCCCCUGGGCUAGCACUGACGCUCAGGCACGAAAGCGUGGGGAGCAAACAGG